rnacentral:tRNA from 1 species
GCUCGGAUGGUGGAAUUGGUAGACACGCCACUUUGAGGUGGUGGUGCCGAAUUUACGGCGUGGGGGUUCAAGUCCCCCUCCGAGCA